rnacentral:lncRNA from 12 species
UAAAAAAGCGAGGAUGUUCUAGGCUGUGAAGAUGGGGAAGGUCCACAUGGAGUAGGAAUCCAGGGAAAAAUGUUACUGAGAGGGGACCUCAAUAGAUAUCUUAAGAGGAGGGCUACUUCCAGCUGUUGAAAGCCCAGGUCCAGGGAGGAGAUCAGCACAUAUUCCAGAAGCUAUGGGGACCUAAGGUCAAUGAAGGCAGCUAUGACUGGCCGGGCACAUGGUCCACACAAAGAAAAGAAUGCACCGACCUAUUGUGGAGGAGAGUCUUUAAUCUUGUUUUGCUAUUGGUGUAUACUGUUCGGGAAAAUUCUCCUGCAAUUCUUGGCCAAUUAAUCCCCCACAAAAACAUGAGAAUGCCUUCUGCUGGCGCCUUUGUACACAGUCAAAGGAAUGAUAUUCACGCUUAAAGAUAGUUGAGAUCAGACACAAAGGGUUAAUCCCAAUGAGCAGACAGCGCGAUUUCUGAUUGAACAAAGAACACUUUAUUGAGUGCUGCCUGGGUGCGGGGAGAAGAGCGGGAUGACCCAGAUGGGAGGCAAGAUCCUCCUGGAGGUCCUGAGGCUCCGGGCCCCCUUCGGUGGGCGGGGCCGUCGGGAACCUAAGAGCACUCUGCGGGGGCCACCUUCUUCUCCACGGUGCUCCCCUCGUGCGUGACCAGGCAGCUGAAGCUGCUGUGAGAUUUCCACUUGUCAGGCGUCAGGCUCAGGUAGCUGCUGGCCGCGUACUUGUUGUUGCUCUGCUUGGAGGGCUUGGUGGUCUCCACGGUGCUCCCCUCGUGCGUGACCAGGCAGCUGAAGCUGCUGUGAGAUUUCCACUUGUCAGGCGUCAGGCUCAGGUAGCUGCUGGCCGCGUACUUGUUGUUGCUCUGCUUGGAGGGCUUGGUGGUCUCCACGCCCUGGGUGACGGGGCUGCCGUCUGCCUUCCAGGCCACCGUCACGCCGCUGGGGUAGAAGUCGCUGAUGAGGCACACCAGGGUGGCCUUGUUGGCGCCGAGCUCCUCAGAGGAGGGCGGGAAGAGUGUGACCGAGGGGGAGAAGUCGCUGAUGAGGCACACCAGGGUGGCCUUGUUGGCGCCGAGCUCCUCAGAGGAGGGCGGGAAGAGUGUGACCGAGGGGGAGGCCUUGGGCUGACCUGUGGGGACGGAAGGCCGGUGGGUCAAGGCAGAUGUUUGUUGUGUCAGCACCUACCUGAGUGCUGGUGUGGGGGUACAGCUGUGUCCUGUCCAUGUCUUGGGCCGCAGGCGGCCCUUGCUCCUAGAGGUCAGGCCAACCAUCGGUAGGCUCACCCACCUUCUGCUGGAGAGAAUCUGAGUGACAGAUUCUCUAGUUUCUGGGCCUCUGCAUGGCCUCAGGGUCUCUCCACAUCAUAUAUCCUUCUAAUCUACUCAGUCUACCCCCAGGACUAGAUAUCAAUGACCCCGAGACCCUGCUUUCUUUCUGAAUCUGGGUGUGCUUGGACACAGGUCUCAGGUGACAUCCCCCAGGUCACUUACCCAGGAUUUCCUAGAGCUGGCAUCUCUGGGUUGCAGGGCUCUGUUACCCAUGUGAGGAGUCUGUUUCCUGCCUCCAGGCCACCUCAUGCCUUCACAGCAGCCUUGCCCACCUCCCUAGAUACCCACCUUCUAGGGUUGCUGAAUGGGAUGGGCUGUGAACCCUGGUUCUUGAACUCAGGGAGUCCAGUAGGGGAAGUUUUUCGUGUCAAGUGAAUUUCCAGUUCUGAGGAUGGGGCUGUGUCUGUCCUGAGGGUCUCCCUUUUCUGUGAAAACCUGGGGGUCUAUCUCUCCUAGCAUUUCCGGGUACCUAGCAGUACUAUCUCUGUCACCUGUCCCUAUCAGGGACCUCGGGUCCAGUAUCUUCUCAGGGGCUCUCCAGAUGGAGUGGGCUUUGAGGGGACGGACCUCUGCUGCCAGAGUUUCCUAGACCGGUCCUAUUCUUGGUGUCUAAGUAUCCCUACAUGGUGGAUGGUCCCAUCACCCUGGGCUCCAUUCUCUCAAGUCCUUGCUUUAUCCUUUACCCCUUGUCCUGCGUCCCCCUCCUUGUCUCCGAGUCCCCAUAUCAAGGCUCUCCUCACUGUGCCCAUGCAGCCCUCUGCCCGGGAGCCCCCUCCACCAGAGACAGAGGCCAGCACCUGAGCGGCCCCCACAAUCCUUCCAUCACCUUAUAGCCCUGCUGGCAGUCUGAGCAUCCCUCUUCCUUAUCCAUCUCCCCUCAUUUCCCCUCACAUUCAUGAUUCUAAUAGAUCCUGACUGGGGAACCGACCACCCCCUAGUCCAGAGAAGA